UGGUCAGACCAUAGACAGAUACAGAAGACAGCUCGCUAGCGGAUCUAGUCUGCUAUGUAUAUCUAUGGUCGGCACGUCUGGUAACGUCUCUGGCUGCUGUUGACCUUAUUUUUGGAGUAAAACACGGUGGAAGCUGAAUUAGUGAGGAUGACUCCUGCUCCUGUCAUCUCUAAGCUCCUCACACAUCUUUACCUGCACAUGAGGAAAAUCACUCCUGUAGAAUGCAGAUGUUCAGAGGGAGAUGAUGCCACAUCUGGUCCAGCUGAUGGAAGGUCUUGAAGUUCUCUGACUGGCCUGGACUGAAGAUGGUCCUCUCACUGGAUUUAAGGUUCAGAUGCUCAGUAACAAACUCCACCAAUGUGCCAACAGGGAAGCUUUAGGUUUAUUAAAUGUUGCUAUGAAGGUUUCGCUGUUUUUCUUUGUGAAUGCAAUGUGCUCCAACUGAAACUUGAAUUAGAACUUAGAAGUAAAUCCUUCCAUCUGAAAGGAUUUAGUUGCAUUAAUAACCUCAUAACAUUCCAAUUUUUCUUCCAGUCUUGGUUGGAAAUAGAAUCUCUGUAUUGAUUCAGGUAAAAACUGAACUUCAUAGCAUGUUGAAGCAAAACAACCAGAGGAAAACUGUGAUGGUGUUGGAUUGUCAGACCAUAAUGUUGCAGCUCAAAGCAGCUUUUCUAGCUCAGUUCAUUCUGACAUUCAGCUAUGAAUCAACACAGCAGAUGGUGAUCCAUGCUGUGGAAAUCUCACAUCUCCUGAUUUAAUGGAGCUGCUUUGCACUUUUUACACGGUUUACUCACCAACACUUUAUUUAAUAAAAGUCCCAUCUAGUUUUUAUGAGGAAUGUGAGGUUUUAAUUUCUCUGUGAAUAACUGCAGUCUAAUGCAACAGCUGGAGUUGUAACAUCUGUCCUGAUAUUGAUCAUGAAGUAUUGAUCAGAAUACUUAUGGUCAGCAGUCAUCCCUGAAGUUUUACAUUAAAAGCUUUACUUGUGUUGUGAACUUUGGUAAGAAGCAGAAACUUCAGCGUUGCCAUGGAUACAUGAGUGUUAAAUUCUGUCCAUGUUUCCAUUUUGGGAAAUUCAGUCCAGCAGAUGAGUUUGUUUUUACUUCCAGCUACCAUUCAGUCUGAGAUAUUAAGAAUAAAUAAAUGGGCAUAAUGUGGAAAUGAACAGAUUUUAUUUUUAUUUAUUCCUACAGGUGAUGCAGUUAAAGUUCCAGAAUGUGGAGGAAUUUAGUCUCACGAUGACAGACAAUAAAUAUUAUCUGAAAGUCGGGUUAUUGUUUAUCAGUACAAUACAAAAAGAUUCAUGUUAGAAAUAUUCCAGUUAAGACUCUAGAAUAUCAUGAUUUAUGUAACUUUACCUCAGUAAUAUCAAUGUUCAGGUUAAGAUUGUGCAGUGAUAUUUAUUAUGUAAGUUUAGCUGAUUAAAGUUUAUGACUCUGCACUACAAUGUUAUUUAUUUAAAUUUACAUCAUUAUUAUAUUUAGGGUCAGACCCUACAGUAUUGAGAUUAAGAGAUCAAAUAUUCUAUAAAAUGUAAAUACACUGAACUCAUUUGGAUAUAUUUAAGUGAGACUCUACAAUAUUAUUUGACACAAAUCUGUAAAUCAAAAUUUUAAUCAUUUUUACGCCAAACAUUUACUGGACUGAUUUAAAUAUUAAAAUCACUCUUUUCUAAUCCUCUGCUGUACGUUCAAACCUGAGGCCUUAAAUAGAAACACACAAGUAUCUGUUUGAAGGAACUUCUGCAGAGUCCUGGUUCCAGAACAUGAUGAUAGAAUUAUAGACAAACUUUAACAAAAGCUGCCUGAGAGUUUACAGGUUUUUAUGUUAGAUUUCCUCAGUAAUUUAAUGACAGUUAUCAGCAAAAAUCAAGUGUUCAUUUGAUGAACUUCAUUUCCUAAAACAUCCAGAAUUGGAGCUCAUAUCUUUGACAGCUGUAAAGUUUCUGCUCCUUCAAAGUUCACAACACAAUGAAUUAAUUCCUAAAACACUCUCAAUGCUGGAGAGUGUUUGAUGCUGAAGCAGUGACCAGUUUUUCUGUUUCUUCUCUGGAGAUGCACAAUGAGGGACGUCUGCAGAGACUGAGAAAGAGUCUCACCACAUCCUGACAUGAGGAAAAAGACUUUAUUGAAGACUACAAUGAGAAAAACUAUCAGACAGCAGACGGCUGCAUUCAAGGUGAGCUCUGAACAUUUGAUCUGGAACAGGAAUUCAAUCACGGCAGCAUGAGCUUCAUUUCAGUCUGUAGCUGCUGAAUUCAUGGAUGAAUCAUCUGGCACUAGAGAAGACCAUCAAACAUCCACGUCAGCUGAUGGAGGUCCAAGAGUCUCACCCAACAAACAACCUACAGAGUGAAGACCUCAAAUCUGAUUGGACGGCCUCCUAUUCAGCCACAUUUUAGGCUGUUAGAUUGUUCCAGAUAAGACAAGUACAAGAUUCUUCAGAGCCGUUCUACCACGAGCCUGACAGGAAGAACUCCAACAGCUACUGAAUGUUCCUGUGGUUCCCUCAAGGCUACAGGAGGAGCCCUACGAGGACGAGCCGGUCCACCUGAUGGUGGCCAGUCGCUGCUGUUCAAAGCCAACACCGACUACGUGGACUUCUACUGGACCACACGGAGGCCUUCAAACCGGACCAACAAGUUCAGCGACUCCCCGACUCGUGGGUCUGAGGACGUCGCCGAGCCUCGGCCCAGCCGGCCUCCUGUCUGUGGAUGUUUGAGUGCUGAGAGGUUUAUGGAUCCAUGUGAAUGUUCUGUGUUGAAACAGCAGCUUUGGACUCAGUAACGCCGGGAAAAACCAAGAGCUCCUUUAUUUGUGACUUCCACUAAAAAAACUGAUGAAAAUAAGUUUGCCAGGGUUCUGACUGAUAACAGAUUAUUAAAUAAUGAAAAUAAUUGUUUAAAGAUUCCUUUAAACGAUCCUUUUAGGUCUACAUUUCCUUUACACUGACUUCUUGGUAUAUGUACAAGUAUUUUGGGUGGAAUAUACCAUUAAGCCCAAUGUUCAAGGGUUCUUCUGGGAAUAUACCAUUAAAUGAAACCUUUUAGGUAAAUGUUCCAGGAUGUUGGGUAGAAUAUACCAUCAGAUCAACCUUUUAGGUCUACAUUGGAAGAUUUUAGAGUAGAAUAUUACUCCAAACCAUCCUUUAGGUCUACAUUUAAGGUGGAAUACUCCUUUACACCAAGAUUUUUUUGGUCUACAUUGAAGGAUUUCAGGUGGAAUAUUCCUUUGAACUUUUUAAAUUUAUGUUCAAAGAUGUUGGAUGGAAUAUACCAUCAGACCAACCUCCAAGGUCUACAGUAGUGAAUUUUAGGUGGAAUAUACCAUUAAACUCACCUUUUAGGUCGACAUUGGAGGAUUUUAGGAUGGUAUAUUCUUCCAAACCAACUUCUCAGGUCUACAUUUCAGGUGGAAUAUUCCUCCAUACUAACUUUUUUGGUCUACAUUGAAGGAUUUUUUCUAAACCACCCUUUCGGGUCUUGUAGGUGGAAUACAUCCUGAAACCAACCUUUUAGGUCAACAUUCAAAGAUUUAAGGUGGAAUAUUCCUUUAAACCAACCUAAAUUUCAUGUUUUGAUCAUUAUCAAGUGAGAAACCUCAAUCCAGACUCCUCAUAAUGACAUUUGAGAUUUAUGCUGCUGUUAUUUGUUUAGUCCAGACUAAAUGACAGAAGUCCACAACUGUAAUUUUAUUUCAGGACUCGGUUAUUAAAUGUCAAAACAAUCCAUGUGACUCUAAAAACUCAACAACUUGACAAACUCUAAGAUUAAACUCUCCACAAGGAUACAAAACAAGUUGAACUUCUACAUGAGAGCUUUAAUUAUUCUUCAUCUACUUCCUGAAAAGUUUGGUCAAUAAAAAAGACAAAAACUAAUAUUUUCAGCUGAAGUAAAGACAGACUUUGUGAUUUUUCUGCUCACAUGUUGUGUUGUUUUAAACUUACUCUUUCAAAUAAAUAGCCGCCUAGCCUGGAAACCAGCGUUUGUCCUGUUUUUGUGUUGCUCCUCGGCGACCCUAGACAGCCGGGUCAGAAUGUUUUUUGAGCAACACACCAUACUAUGACGUUUUUACAAUGAUGGUUCUACUAUGGAACCAGUUUGACAUGUUCAGGCGUCCUUUGUGUAAAAACUCAGAGAUUUCAGGUAUCAGAAGGUGGUUUUCAACUUUCUUUAUUAACUUUCUGCUUCAACUUUAAACUAAAUUUCCUUGACUAACCCAGCCCUCUGGACUUCCAGGAAGCUGUGUUCCUAUUGGCUGUCCAGGUGGCUGCUUGGUGUUAUCAGGAACACCUGAGCAGCUCAGUGUCUUCCUGCUUUAUUUAGCUGCAGACAAACAUUUCCUCUGCUUCUCUUCACCACUAACCGGGUUUGGUUCCGUUGCUUUAGUUUGUUUUUUAGGCGUUGGCUUGCAGCUUCCAGCAGUAAAAUCGUUUUUAAUGUGUUUCUUGGUGUGUUUUAGGGCUUUGUACUGGAUAGUUGUCUUGGUAAAGGUGGUUCUUUAGCCACAGUUAGCACAUGGUGCUAAUGUGUGCAGUGAUUAGUGGAUUUGGUGCAGCUGAGUUGUGUCUUUAUCUUGGCUGUAGUGAGUCUUCAGAGGUUUUUGGUCAGACACAUUCUGUAUUCUUGUUUGUGAACCAGCGUUGGUUGUCCAGAAGGUAAGAGUUUCUGUCCUGAUUCUCUGUUCUCAGAGGUUCUCUGGUAGGCUGCAGGAGACUUUAGCGUUUGGGUUGUGCUAGUUUGGUUUUUGUAUGGUUUCAUUUGGACGACUAUCUUGAGGCCCCUCCAUGUGGUUUAGUGAGGUUUUCUGGAGCAGUUCUACAAAGCAACCUGCAGCAGAAGAGACUUUGAGUGUUUUUCGGAAGUUCUGGAGACCAGACUUUAGAGCAGCAGAAACAUUUGUCAGCAGUUUGAGCAGGAGAAGGUGAGCUUCAGAGUAGAAAUGAGGCAGAAACCUUCUUGACUCGUGUGGUGAGGUCCUGUACCAAGAGUUUGAGCAGGUUGUGAAGAGUCUGUAGUUCUUUGGUCUGAAAGCACAAGAAGAGUCGACUCAUUAAAGCAGAAAACAGGAGAUAUUGUUGGUUCUUCUGUUGCUCUGCAGUUUCCUUAGACUGAAUAUCAAGUUUCUAUUUUAAAUGAUUUCCCAUGUGAGCCCAAGAAGACUUCAAUAAACUCCCUCCAUCCCCUGGACACAACAUAUUUUAUUGCCAUGUUAAGUCUUUUUUUUUUUUUUUUUUUUUUUUUUUUAAUAAAUGUUUUUGAGUUUUAAUCAUAGUUUUAGCAUAGUUUUUUCUCUUUGCUUGUUUAGUUUUGUUGUUUGUGAGAAAGGUGCUAAACAAAUAAAGUUGAAUUGAUAAACUGAAUAAU